CCUACGGGAGGCAGCAGUGGGGAAUAUUGCACAAUGGGGGAAACCCUGAUGCAGCGACGCCGCGUGAAGGAAGAAGUAUUUCGGUAUGUAAACUUCUAUCAGCAGGGAAGAAAAAAGACGGUACCUGACUAAGAAGUCCCGGCUAACUACGUGCCAGCAGCCGCGGUAAUACGUAGGGGGCAAGCGUUAUCCGGAUUUACUGGGUGUAAAGGGAGCGUAGGCGGUGCGCCAAGCUGGGUGUGAAAGGCCGGGGCUCAACCCCGGGACUGCACUCGGAACUGGCGGACUAGAGUGUUGGAGAGGUAAGCGGAAUUCCUAGUGUAGCGGUGAAAUGCGUAGAUAUUAGGAGGAACACCAGUGGCGAAGGCGGCUUACUGGACAAUAACUGACGCUGAGGCUCGAAAGCGUGGGGAGCAAACAGGAUUAGAUACCCCAGUA
rnacentral:rRNA from 1 species